rnacentral:rRNA from 1 species
GACAGAGGGUGCAAACGUUGUUCGGAAUUACUGGGCGUAAAGCGUGUGUAGGCGGCCACGUAAGUCGGAUGUGAAAGCCCCAGGCUCAACCUGGGAAGUGCACUCGAUACUGCGUGGCUUGAGUAUCGGAGAGGUUGGUGGAAUUCCCGGUGUAGCGGUGAAAUGCGCAGAUAUCGGGAGGAACACCCGUAGCGAAGGCGGCACUCUGGGCCGGUACUGACGCUGAGGAGCGAAAGCGUGGGGAGCAAACAGG